rnacentral:lncRNA from 1 species
GGAGAAGGCAAGACAGAGGGCCCUUUGAUAGGAGGAAUGUGGUUCAAAGCAAAGUCUUGUUCCCGCCGUUCGUGGUGCUCCAUCUGUUCCUCAUUUGGGCUGGAGGUGGGUCAGGGCCCGCAGAGGCACGCGUGCUGUGGCUGAGGGGCAGGCAGGGGCUUUGCACAGCACAUCUGGUGCGCAGGUUAUGUUCCUUCCACGGCUGGAAAACAGCGGGAGGAAUGUUCGGAUACUUCACGCAUACUUCUGCGGAACUGCUUGGAAGUCAGAAAAUGGAGCAGCCGAAUGUUAAGGUAUCAAACUCAUCCCAAUCGUCAAGCUGUCUAAACUCCAGCCCAGCCGCUUUUUAGAUGUCAAACGAUCCUGUGAGUGGAGAUGUAUGAAUCAGUGCUGCCAUGGAUUCGCCUAUUGUAAAGAUACUUGCAGAAUACAAAAGAGGUACUUGCAGAAGUUUCUAGAUCUAGUUUUAUCCAUACUCAAUUUUCUGAUAUAUUUUGGUAUUUAAUUUUAGUUUGGGCUCAUUUCUAGCAUUCCUCUCCAGUUUAAUGCAUUCAAAAAGUGCUGCAGUGUGGAAACAUCGGAAACAUCAACGUGUGAGUCUGACACAAAUUAGCAGCACCUCGCCGAGUCCCGAGGGGGAGUGCAGAGAAUUCCCUCUUUGCUGUCAGGAGCAAGGAGGGCUGGGAGUAGGAGUAAGGUGUGACAGCACGGCUGGCAGGGCAGGGGCUCACCCCACAGACCCCGACAGCCCAGAGGGACGGGCAGGUUGGGGGACCUGUUGCCAUGCAUGGAGCAGAGCCCAGGCUGGGCUUGGGGCAGGGCUGCGGGGAGAUCCAGGGGCUGCCCAGCAUGGGUAGGGCCUGAUGGUGUGCUCAGGACCCCAACAUGCACAUCUGGGAACAAUUGGUGUUUAAAGCAGGGGCUCAGUUCCCUGCAAAACCUAGGGUCUGGCAGAAGGAAACGGUUAUGCCUCUUUAGGAAACGUCUAACGUUUCUUCUGGGUUGGAUGCUUUAUGCAGUUUGCAUAUUGCACGGCAAUCAGUUGCCUCAGAUACAAAGCCAUGUAUUCAAUUCAACCUACAAAGGGGACACCCGGGUUCCUCACUGUCCCCCCAAGGUUACCAUGAAGCUGUUAGUUAAUGCAAAAACUUGUCUCUCUUCUUCCUCAUCUUCUCUUUAUAUAUAAGCAGGCUUCUUGUGUGUUCUCUGCAGUUCCUCCUGGAAUUAAGGGCCAUUAGAGAAAGCCAAGGCUGCUUCAAGUUUGGAGUGUCUUCUCAGUCUGAAGUAAUUUUAAAGCCCUUGUGGAGCAGUGUUUCUCUGAGAUACCGAUUUGUAGUGAGACCACACCAUGCUGGAGCAAGACGUAGUGUACGCGAAUGGGCUGAGCUGAGGAGAAAGAAGCCUGCAGGAUCUGCAGGGUGAGCUCCUUGCUGGCAUGGGCUCCCUGCUGCAUCUCUCAUCCCACCUAUCGUCUGGAAACUCGCUGGGCAUGGACCAUCAUUUCAUUUUAUGUCUGUGCAGUGCUGGGGCAGAGCCCUGACAGAGGGUCCAGUCAGCACAGCUACCAGCAGCAGUAACUCCCUUCUGUUUCUAAAUUAGGGCUGGUGUUCAUUCUUUCCAGCAGACAAGGGUUCCUAAUCUUUCAGAAGCCUCUGCCAUGUCUGCCACCCCCAGUUCCCCUCUGCCCCCCUAAGACCUCAGAUGGCAAAGCACAUCGUCCUCACCUUACCCAGCGUAGCAAUAAUUCCUUCUCCAUCUUUGACCCUGGAUUCCUGAGGCAGUUUUCUUUCCUGGAACCUUUCCACGGUACGGCUCUUUUCUUCUCCUUCCAAUCUGGGGUCUCUCUCUUCACCACUCCCAUGUGUUGCUGCCAUUUCUUUCCCAUCCCUGUGCUAUAGGGCAGCAGCAACCCAGCUCAGCUGAACGUUGCUUUCUAGUGUUGGCUGGGACCUGCUGCACAAGGCUGUGCUUACUACUGAUCAGUGUAAACUUAAAAAAAUAUAAAGAUGAUAUCUUGGGAAAUGCAACAUUCUGAUAGAGCUCCUAACAGAGGCUCAUUUAAAAGAAGAGCCCAGAAGAGCUCACACUUAUGUGAAACCACAGAGUAAUUUUUGGCGAUGCUUGGAAUGUGGUUGUUUCGUGAUGUUCUAUGGCUGCUCAAUUUAAGAAUAAUACACUGUUAUUUUCUUGGUGUUAAAUGUUGCUGUGGGGAUAUCACAAACUUCCUGAGUAAAAACUUUAAUUAAAAAGCAAGCGUUAAUCUCCAAGCAGUAGCAUCUGCAGCAAAUUGCCAGAUAAGACUUUGCCAACCUGAGAAUCUAAGCAAGAUUCUAAUUAAAUCAGAGGGGGGAAAAAAAAGGAAAAGAUGAACUAGAUAUACGUUUUAUUUAAGGAUGGCAGUUACAUAAGACACCCCAGAUCUCAUGGUUGCUAUCUGAUGGGUAACGCUGCUGCCAGCUCUCAGGGGCUAUUUGCUGGGUGAGAAACCCCUGUCCCACCGGUUCUGAGCACUCUCAUGCUGCACUCAGCAGGGCAGGGACAUCACUGCACCCUCUGCUCAGCUCUGAAGCCACGUGGGUCCCGUUGAAAGCCACAGCUGAUCUGGCAGUGAAGCAGCGCGACAGCGCGGUGUGAGGAGAUGCCGUAUCACAAGCAGGGCCAUCUUUCCAGUGAGACACAAAAACAAAGUCCUGACUAUGUUUGGUUAUUAAAAGUCCCAGCGCACCUUUUUAAAAGCAGGGCUCUUAAUCCCGGUGUGCUGGCCAAAAUCUAUUCUGGGGGAUUCCACUCUGGCUAUCAGCAUUUCUCGUAUUGUUCCAGUUGGAUCUGCUCUUGGCCUUUGCCUCCUGUUCCAAACCGGGCUCCUCUGUUUUGGAACAGCUGAUAUUUUCCAGAGACAGCCGCACUGCAGCGGUGUGUGAAGCGCUCUCUUCAUAUCCCUCACUUGCCUCAUAGCAAUGGAAUGAGGAUUAAUCAAUUAUGCCCAAUUUGUGAUAGCUGUGAAGUCAAAAGGUAUUUUUCCUUUGGCAUCGUGCGGACCAGGUUUACCUCUGCGUGCCCAUUUUGAUCUCGAGAUUCCUUCAUGCAAAAACAAAUAGAAAUGCAAUGCAUUGCCUUGUUGAAGAUGUCUGUGCAGUGAGAAUUGCCUUAGCUAGUGGCUGCAUGCAUUGUAAAGGCUGUUUCCUCAAGAGCGUAGUUACUUGUUGCAGCAGGCGUUGCUGUGCAGGAGGAAAUACCAGUUUCUUGAGCAUUGGUUUAAGCACACGGUGUUGCUUGGCCAGCAUUUGUGGCUCUGCAUGUCCCAUACAUUCAAAACACGCUUUGUUACGCUUUCAGAGCUGGCUCUGCUCUAUUCCCACUUUGGCUAUGUUAUGGAAUCCUAUCAGAGAAACCACGUUCUGAAAACCACGAAGAAUUCGACUUCUAAUAUGGGAAGAAAACUGACACUAAAAAACAAUGGCUGCUGCUUAUUCCCUCUGACCAAAUGUUAAUUCUUCUGGGCCAGGAAAGAGAGCAGGUAAAUAACAGCUAGACUUGUAGAGACUGCAAAGGAUUUUCCUCUUCGACCCCUCGCUGCAUACCACUCAAGAUGUCACAUUUCAGACUGUAAAUCAGCUUACGGUGUGGACAAACGAUAUCACUGCAAAACAUCGGUGCAGGAUCACCUAACCUCCUCCGUGCACACGGAGUAAUAGGAAAGAGUGGUCAUGGGCUAUUCUGGGAGAAGUGUACUCAGCGGAUGGACACACAGAGGAUAUUCAGGCAGCCACUGAGGAGCAGAACAACAGUAAUGAAUAUUAUUAAAGGCAGGUGUGGAUGAAAUUAGCCUAGCCCUGUAGGGGAACUAUCAAAUUAAACCCAGAAAAAUGUUGGUCCGUACACAACAUCAAUCUUGUGCUCUUCUGCAAAUGAACAGUAAAUGAAAUAUAGUGGAUAUGUGUCAGCCAGACCUCACGGUGCUGACUAGAUUUCAUUUUCUCAAGUAUGCAGAAAAGGUUUUGAUGUGCGUGUAUUAAUACUUCUCCACUGGCUACGGAUGAAUUGAAAACACCACAUCUGAAGUGCCGGGCUCCGAGCUUUUCUGGAGCUGUUCUGAUCCGCCUUCCACCAGCCCUGUGGAGUGAGGCUGAGUGCCAUAACCGUGUGCCUGCUGUCAUCUCCUUGGCUCCAAAACCCAAACAGAACUACGGCUGAAAAGCUUUGCGUGGUACUGAUAGGCACUGCUAUCAAGGGCUGCUCUUCAUCCUUUCCGUACUUCUUCAAAACAUGGCUAAGUGCUGUGGAUGUAGAGCAGUACUUCCUCAAGUGCUCCAGCUGUGAAUCUCUCUCUAAAAUGAUUCUUUAAAGAGUAUUUUUGAGCAAAAAUUUUGCCAUUUUUUCCCAAAAUGGGGAUUUUACACAACCUCCAACACUGAAAUUUCUCCAGAAAAGUGAGAUCUGUGUAUUAGAGGUGAGCACUUUUUCAGCUCCUGUUAACUGGCAUCACAGAGCAUUGGGUCUAAGCGUGUUGACAGUAAAUAUUUUCUGAAAAGCCAAACAUGAAGCUGAAAAAAUAUGACUGUGUUUGCUUAACUAAUUGGUAGAGUUUGUGUGUUUAUCCAGGUAUUGUUGCAGAAUGAAAUUAUGCUGCUGGGAACAGGAAUGCAGAAUCUGCCUUGAGCUAAGUGUUAAUCAGGGGGUACAUGCAGCCCAGGUUACCGCCUAAUGGACUAUCUUAAAUGGCAUUUCCUCAUCGAAAUGUGCCUGGCACCUUUGUUUGCAGGAGCUGUAUGCCCAAAUAUCUCAUGUCUUUCAUCUCUCUGAACCAGGUCUGGCUUCCCUGAAGUCAAGAUGGUUUCCUCAGCUGGAGGAGGGAGAUCUUGUGCCAAGAUUGGCCUGCCAGGACCAAAAAAUUUGGAUCUGAAUUAGAUUAAGAAGAAAAUGAAUUUACCCCAUCUGUAUAUUUGGUUCCUGAUUUCUCUCGCUUCCAUUUUAUGAAUUACAAAUAAAUGGACUCCCGUGAUGUUGGUCUGAAAGGAAACCCAAGUCCUCAUCUCUACUUGCUGAUGAAAUUGAUGGUUUUUUUCCUUCUCUUCUGGUUUUGAAAAGAAAAUAACCAAAAUAAACAUCAAGGGAAAAAGCCAAUAACUUCUAACACAGCCAGUGAAGUGUAAAGAGCUGCAUGUUGGAAGGGAAAAACUGAACACAUUUGGGAAGUGCUGGGGAGCAAUUCAGGAUCCAACACAUUGGGUGGGAUGGUUACUGUGAGGAGCUGAUAUUUGUGUAUUUUAUGGGACAACCUUUUGCAAGUUAGAUAGAAACCACUCGUACUCUCUAUUACUACGCUUAGACACAAGCUUCCUGGCACCAACUUAUUCUACAUAUAAGAACCAACUGCAAAGUAUAAUAAGAGAACGUUCAGCCUACUCUUUUAUAGAUGAUUGACAAAAUGGUUUUAAAAGUGGCCUCAUCCUUGCCACAUUUAAAGACACAGAGAAGAGCCCUCAACGACUGCUCUGGGAUGAUUUGGGUUCGUUUGGAGCGUGCGGAGGAGGGCAGCUUUUUGCCUUAGGAGGUCUCACGGUCAUUGGAAUUGAAAGGAAGAGAGCAUUGGGUUGGGGUCUUUUUUAACCAAAUGUAUUAUUUGUCCAAAUUGUUUAUUAGGUAUUCAAUGAAGUGGAGUUUAACAACAAAAAUAAUAAAUCUGAGCGUUUUCAGCACUCUGGCUUAAAGUGCUUUCCCUUCACAGCUGCUUGUCUUUGCAAUUUUAUAUCCAGUGAUAUUAUAAUGACAUUAAUUUUCCAGCUGUCAGGGGAAUUUCAAAGCUGAUUCUGUGCUUCAAAUGUAAAAAUCAAGAAUUCCCAGCAGCUUUUUUUGGUUAAACUUCUGGAUAACAUUUCAAAAUGGUUCUUUGUCAAAG